rnacentral:tRNA from 1 species
GCCCGGAUAGCUCAGUUGGUAGAGCAGCGGAUUGAAAAUCCCCGUGUCCUUGGUUCGAUUCCGAGUCCGGGCACCA